GCUGGAUUUCUGAAACGGAUCUUCUAUAUUACAGGCACACUGAAAUGACAGGCAUCUUCGUUUGUGUUCUGAUGAUGAUAGAAAAUCAUACACAUCUGGCAUGGCAUUAAGGCGUUUCAUCGGGAUAAAUCCUGAGAGAGGCACCAAGGCUGGACGAGGCAAAGUCCUGUCAAAGCAUACAGGGAAAGUCGCCCAGAAAAAGAUGACAUCAGUCAACCCUCGUGUCUUCAGUCUACUAAAGAAACUA